AGCCUAUCAGCUAGCCUAACAAACAAAAGCAACAACUCACUAUCAAUAACCCCUAAUACACUUAAACAAACAAACAAACCAUUUUUCCCCCUUAGUAUGGGCGACAAAAAAGGAACAUAGAGCAAUAGAAAAAGUACCGCAAGGGACUGCUGAAAGAGAACUGAAAGAAUUUAGUUAAGCCUAAAAAAGCAGAGAUUUAAACUCGUACCUUUUGCAUCAUGAGUUAGCUAGUGUAACUUAAGCAAAGCGCACUUUAGUUUAUUACCCGAAACUAAGUGAGCUACUCCAAGGCAGCCUAUCAUAGGGCCAACCCGUCUCUGUUGCAAAAGAGUGGGAAGAACUUUGAGUAGAGGUGAUAGACCUACCGAACUUAGUAAUAGCUGGUUGCCUACGACAUGAAUAGGAGUUCAGCCCCUUAGCUUCUUCACUCACACAUCCAACCGACAUAAAGAAACUUAGGGAGUUAUUCAAAGGAGGUACAGCCCCUUUGAAACAAGACACAACUUUAACAGGAGGUUAAAGAUCAUA
rnacentral:rRNA from 1 species